UACGUAGGGUGCAAGCGUUGUCCGGAAUUAUUGGGCGUAAAGAGCGUGUAGGCGGCCCGAUUAAUCUGCUGUGAAAGUCCAGGGCUCAACCCUGGAAUGCCGGUGGAUACUGUCGGGCUAGAGUCCGGAAGGGGCGAGUGGAAUUCCUGGUGUAGCGGUGAAAUGCGCAGAUAUCAGGAGGAACACCAAUGGCGAAGGCAGCUCGCUGGGACGUGACUGACGCUGAGACGCGAAAGCGUGGGGAGCAAACAGG
rnacentral:rRNA from 1 species